AGCAGCCGCGGUAAUUCCAGCUCCAAUAGCGUAUAUUAAAGUUGUUGCAGUUAAAAAGCUCGUAGUUGAAUUUCGGGAUCAAUAUAUCGGUCGUGCCUUUGGUACGUACUGGUAUCAUUGAUUUCUCCUUUCUGACGAAUCAUGAUGUCAUUAAUUUGGUGUUAUGAGGAGUUAGGACUGUUACUUUGAAAAAAUUAGAGUGUUUAAAGCAGGCAUUAGCUUGAAUACAUUAGCAUGGAAUAAUGAAAUAGGACGUUUGACCCUAUUUUGUUGGUUUUUAGGAUCGACGUAAUGAUUAAUAGGGAUAGUUGGGGGCAUUAGUAUUCAAUUGUCAGAGGUGAAAUUCUUGGAUUUAUUGAAGACUAACUACUGCGAAAGCAUUUGCCAAGGAUGUUUUCAUUAAUCAAGAACGAAAGUUAGGGGAUCGAAGACGAUCAGAUACCGUCGUAGUCUUAACCAUAAACUAUGCCGACUAGGGAUCGGAUGAUGUUAAUUUUUAUAAUGACUCAUUCGGCGCCUU
rnacentral:rRNA from 1 species